GACGAACGCUGGCGGCGUGCUUAACACAUGCAAGUCGAACGGAAAGGCCCCUUUGGGGGUCCUCGAGUGGCGAACGGGUGAGUAACACGUGAGUAACCUGCCCUUGACUUCGGGAUAACUUCAGGAAACUGGGGCUAAUACCGGAUAGGAAUCCUUGCUGCAUGGUGGGGGUUGGAAAGCUUCGGCGGUUUUGGAUGGACUCGCGGCUUAUCAGCUUGUUGGUGGGGUAGUGGCUUACCAAGGCUUUGACGGGUAGCCGGCCUGAGAGGGCGACCGGCCACAUUGGGACUGAGAUACGGCCCAGACUCCUACGGGAGGCAGCAGUGGGGAAGAUUGCACAAUGGGCGGAGGCCUGAUGCAGCAACGCCGCGUGCGGGAUGACGGCCUUCGGGUUGUAAACCGCUUUCAGCAGGGGCGAAGCUUGUGGUGACGGUACCUGCAGAAGAAGCACCGGCUAACUACGUG
rnacentral:rRNA from 1 species